GAUGAACGCUGACAGAAUGCUUAACACAUGCAAGUCAACUUGAACUUCGGUUUGGGUGGCGGACGGGUGAGUAACGCGUAAAGAACUUGCCUCACAGAUAGGGACAACAUUUGGAAACGAAUGCUAAUACCUGAUAUUAUGAUUUUAGGGCAUCCUAGGAUUAUGAAAGCUAUAUGCACUGUGAGAGAGCUUUGCGUCCCAUUAGCUAGUUGGAGAGGUAACGGCUCACCAAGGCGAUGAUGGGUAGCCGGCCUGAGAGGGUGAUCGGCCACAAGGGGACUGAGACACGGCCCUUACUCCUACGGGAGGCAGCAGUGGGGAAUAUUGGACAAUGGACCAAGAGUCUGAUCCAGCAAUUCUGUGUGCACGAUGAAGUUUUUCGGAAUGUAAAGUGCUUUCAGUUGGGAAGAAAAAAAUGACGGUACCAACAGAAGAAGUGACGGCUAAAUACGUGCCAGCAGCCGCGGUAAUACGUAUGUCACAAGCGUUAUCCGGAUUUAUUGGGCGUAAAGCGCGUCUAGGUGGUUAUGUAAGUCUGAUGUGAAAAUGAAGG
rnacentral:rRNA from 1 species